rnacentral:rRNA from 1 species
AUGAUCAGCACCAGAAAGGAUAGAUCAAUUACAGCUUUUAUCCAGGAAUUAAACCAGCACAUUCGACGUCAGGAGAACGAUAUGUGCGCCGACAUGAUAGACCUGAAGAAGACAAGGACCAGAAUCAAGGAACUGGAGGAAGAACUCAAGGCUACACGUGAAGAUUAUGAAGAGGAAAUAGAAGUAUUAGUGGAGAAGAAUGACGAUCUCAUCAAGAAGAUCGGAAUAUUUAUGGGAGACCCUACACCAGUAGAUGAAGAUGAAGAACCCAAUGAGAUUCGCCCGGAAGACUACAUCAUCAUCGACGACACCGACUCGGACCCAGAUGAUAGCGAUGAUGACUAUGUUGAUGAAGCUGGAGCAGAUAUCAUGGAGUCUGCAACCGAAAAAUAUUUCUAG